CCUGCCUCUAGAAGCAUUGCAGGGGUGGCUGCUGUGUCACUGUGCAUCAGUAGGUGAGCAGAGAGGAGAGAGGCUAUGACUACGUUCAGUGUUCUGACCUGGGAACAUCUGAAUGAUGGGUAGCCUAACAUU
ensembl:snoRNA small nucleolar RNA SNORA17